GGCUGUGGAAGGCCGCCACCAGCUGUGGCAAGUCCGUGAUUUCAAUACGCUUGGCGAUGGUGAGGCCUGCGGUCGAGUUGUGACAUCAGAACUGCACAAAGAAUAAACGGCACCGAAGAAAGUACACCACCCUGCAAACAGGAAGGAUAAGUGUGACAGCUCGCCAUUAAUUUUCACACAUUGUGACCGAUCUGACAGAAAGUCUAACAACCAACCUACAAGAUUUGGAUUCAGAUGAAACGCUGACAAAAGUUCAUUCGCAAGAAGAUAGGGCUGGGUAGUAUUAAAUGCAGAUGGAAAAUCAACAAACCACAGCCUUGGAUGUGUUUUAGGGACGUCCAGAUGUUCCACUAAAAGGUUUAUUAAAAACAGAGUGGCGUCCUGCACACUCCCGCCUGAGGAGGACCUAAAGUGGCCAGCAGCCUGUUUCAGAUCGCCCUUUUUCAUUAUCCUCACAAAGCCUUCAUCACCAAGGAGGUGAAGGCUACUGGUCUGAAGACAUUGAGGACUUCAUGGCUCUUAUAUUUUUGCAACAGGAACAAUUGUGGCAUGUUUCCACGCUUUACAAUCUGCUGCUGAAGAGACUGAUUAGAAAUCAUUUUCAAAAUUUCACUAAGUUAUAAAGCACAAUGCUCUGUCAUUUCUGAAAGUGCAAGAACUACAGUAGCUACACUAGGUGUGUUACUGUCUUAGGAGCAUGCACGUGGUGCUGACAUGGUGGAGGUACAAUAUAAUCAUUUUUAAAAAUUACAUUUGCAUACCCUUCCCCUUCUUCUCUGUUUGUGGUGUAUUCUGAUACACUAUUACAGCACCACAUAUAGUAUUUUUGUGUGGACGAGGAUAAUCCUACAAAUAAUCCCAUGUUUCCAGUUAACUUUUUAAAUAAAUAGAGCAGGAAAAACA